rnacentral:rRNA from 1 species
GGCCUGGAACAGCGAGAUAUGAGUUCGCUAGUGCAUUGCAUUCAUCUAUGUGAGGGAAGUCCCUCGAUUUCGGGCAUAGAGGGAAAAAAAUAAUUAUUUUUUUUCCAUUGCAAGCGCGACACCAGCUGGUACAGGGAACGCGUCACUUGUCAAGUUCUGCAGGAAUUUUCGACAGGUACGCCGAUCCUGUGGCGAGUGAGGGUUAAACGCCUCACCGUCGCAACGCACGCAAAGCGGUGGGUUGCAGUCGAUUUUUCUUUCGCCUGCAGCUUAAGGUACGUGCUGAUCCCAUUCGAAAGGAUGCUUUCUAGACUAGGCCCGAAAUGCCAAAGCUAGAAGGGUGGAACGAAUUCGAUUGAUUGGAUUUCGUUCUGCGGUCAACGAGAUGCCAGACAUAGUAAGGAUUGACAGAUUGAUGGCGCUUUCAUGAUUCUAUGGGUGGUGGUGCAUGGCCGUUCUUAGUUGGUGGAGUGAUUUGUCUGGUUAAUUCCGAUAACGAACGAGACCUUGACCUGCUAAAUAGACGGGUUGACAUUUUGUUGGCCCCUUAUGUCUUCUUAGAGGGACUAUCAUACGUCUAGUUGAUGGAAGUUCGAGGCAAUAACAGGUUAACCCUUAACACAGGCCUGUAAAAGCGGUGCCGUAAACCGCUAGUCUAGCAUCUUGAUCUCUGUAGGAAAAAAGCAUUUCCAACUGUCGGGCAGAGAAUCUUUUUCGAAGGGAAAAGAGUGAUGCAGGCGACACUACCUGGUACAGGGAACGCCGGAGUCUUUUUUUUCCGAAAAGGGACUUGGCCGAUCCUGUGGCGAGCUCGAGUAGCGUCGAGCCGUCGCAACGCGCGGAAAGGAGUGGGUUUCGAAUGAUUUCGAAGCUUAAGGUACGUGCUAAUCCCCAAGGUAACUUGGCUUCUGUGAAUAGGCCCGACAGGCCGAAGCACAGAAGGGCGAUUGGAAUUAAUUGCAAUUCCAAUGGCUGGAAGUGUCGGUUUCCGUCAGAAAAUCGACACUUAUUCUGCUGUGAUGCCCUUAGAUGUUCUGGGCUGCACGCGCGCUACACUGACAGAGACAACGAGUGGAGUCCCUUGUCUGAGAAGACCGGGUAAACUUGUGAAACUCUGUCGUGCUGGGGAUAGAGCUUUGUAAUUUUUGCUCUUCAACGAGGAAUUCCUAGUAAGCGCAAGUCAUCAGCUUGCGUUGAUUACGUCCCUGCCCUUAUUCAUGUMYUAGUACAGGGGGMUGAAAGCGGUACGAAAGUACYUAGCUAGUUUCGCCUUUUCACGAAUGCGAAGCGACACCUUCAAACUGCGGGAACCUCCUAAAGCCUUUACUACCAAGCCAGUCGUGGAAACACACUGGUGGCCGAGCUAGCAGCCCUGGGUAUGGUAAAAAUGUAAAGGAUGCUACAAUGGACGAUCCGCAGCCAAGCCCUAAGGCUCUCGCAAGAGUGCUAUGGGUGCAGUUCACAGACUAAAUGUGGGUGGGUGCUGAAUUCAUUCUUAUUUGGAUUGAGUGCUUAAGAUAUAGUCGAGUCCCUCUGCGAAAGUAGAGCGGAGAAAACGUUGUACACACCGCCCGUCGCUACUACCGAUUGAAUGGCUUAGUGAGGACUUGGGACAGUACGACGGGGAGCCAGCAAUGGCA